AGAGCAGAAGAGAAACAAGAUAUGGCAGAAAAAGAAAGCAGGCCUGUGCCUCCCACAGAGGAUCAGGAAACCAGUAUGUCAUGAAUUGAAGUAAUGAGGAAUAAAUGAAAGGAAAGAAUGACACAGCUGGACAGUCACCCACUGUAAAUGCCCUUCCUGGUAUAAGAUCUCGUCACCAUCUCAUUCUGAACCCUGUAAGAUCAAGGAGCCUGUCCCAUGUCUCAUAGAUGCAAAUUCCUUUGAAGCUUUUGAAAAAAAAAGAUAUAUAUAUAUAACAAAAAGAAUAAUCCAAUAAUAGCACUUUCCAGGACAGGCUCCAACCUUGUUUCAGUGAUGGUCUGUGGAGAGAUAUAAGUAGUGCAAAUAUAUACAAUAUUUCCUCUGAGAAAGUAAAACAACACCUCAUAGUCCAUCACAGCCACCAGCCCAAACAAAGAGAUAUAUUUUUUUUUAAUUAUAAAUCCCUUCUUUAACUUGCUGCUGGCCAGCACUGUAAUUUUUUGCUUUCAAUUGCACAUCAGUUUCCUCCUUAUAGAUAUUACAAUGGCCAUUGCUCUAGGUGUUAACAAACAUAGGAUAUGAGAAGAGUGAGUUUUCCACCUUUUCAAAUACAGUGUAUGUUUCAUCCAGUCAAUACUGAGGAUCCACCAGUCUUUGGCCUUCUUGCUCCCAAAAUUCCAAGAUCCGUGAAGUCGGGGCACCAAGAUUUCUUGGUGGUCAUCUCACGGGCUAAGUCCUAGUGAAACUUACCUAAUGAUGAAAUGCCAUGAUGUUUAAUUUGUCCUGUUCCUCUUCAUAAGACACUCUGAUGAAGACUAACUCUGAAAGAAGGCUGCUGUAUUUUGGAUGCCAGCCUUUUUUAUAAGCACCUUCCAUACCAAGGCAUAAAAAGAUCUGUUCUUAAGAAGGUGCCUUAUGGACAGGAAAGAUUUUCAUAUCUUCUCUUUACAGAACUUUCAUGACACUGGACAAUCAUUUACUAUUUAUACCUCCUACUGCAGAGACAAGCUGCUAAAUAUUUGAAAUUGUCCCACAUUCUCUUCCUGGUUGAAGGUGAAGGUAAAGAGUGGAAAGAGUGACUAGAGCAAGCUCAGGUUGAGACUGUUGCAAAUACAAAGGCAGGGAAUUGUAUCCGGGUUCAGGCAGUCAGCUAUCAAAGGAUGAUGAUAUGAUAUUAAGACUUUAAAAAACAUGAGGAUUUUUGAGCAGAGAAGAAUUUGAACAAGCAUAAAAGCCUAGCAGUGUCAUUUGCAAGCCCCUGUCUCCAUCCAGGGCCAGCCUAUGCAAACAGUCUCAUAUGUGCACAAGGCACAAACUCCCCUUAUGGAGUUGUGCAGUUGAAGAAUUAUCUGCUGAUUUCAACAGUGAAGAGAGAUUUUGUAACUGGAGCCCCAGACAGAUCUUUGUACAGGGCCCUAACAGUCAAGCUGUUCAUGACCACUUGAAAGUAAUGCUCUUUUACUUUGCUGUGAAAUCCCACAAGAGGGCAAUACUGGCAAAGCAAGAUUUUCUAAACCUAGGAAUCUGCUUUCUGUAAAGUGCAGAGUUUUGAUUUUUAGUCUUUUCUACAUUUAACAGCGGCAUAGCAGACAGGACCUUGUUUUUUAAUGCUACAAAGGAGUACAAAGUAUGCUGGCUAACAUUAUUCUUGCCGAUUUUCUUUUCUUCUCAUUUUCUGCAUGUUUGUCCCAUAUUGCAGGUGGAGGAAUUUCAAUGGGACACAUGACUCUUAAGUCAUGGUUUUAUUUACUGAGCAGACCUAUGCAUGGAAAGAGAGUAUUAUAUUAAUAUCGUUAACCACUGACACAGAAGACCACAUAUUUUCAUUUUCGGGGUACAUUAAAAAUAAGCAAAAAAACAAGCACUCAUGAAUCACAAGGCCUCUUAUUCUUAGCCAGCUGCUGGCUGUGGGGAUUGGAUUUUUAUGUUACAUGCAGAAGAAAGCAGCACUUCAAUUUUUUGGAGUUUAGUUUUUACUCUAAGAUAAAAGGAACAUUUUACUAAAAAUGUUACACUCCCAAAAUAUUGGCAGUCACCCUCUUUCAAGACAAGCAGUCAGAACUUUUAGAACAUGUAAGUGUAAAUCUCUUCCAAAAGACAUGUGACCUGUCUCUCAUGUGCUCUCACAAACGGAAUGCUCCAAAACCUACAGAAGUCAAUAGAAAAACUCCCAUUGAAUCAAGGGACUUUGACUUGGGCUUAAAAUGAACAGUUACAGCUCCUGCUCUAGUACAGAAGAUGGGAAACUCCCAUUGGGAAUUCACAAGCCUAGACUUUCCUUCUCAUUUUGAGAAACUUUUUUUCUGCAUUUUGAUGGAAGUCACGUGCUUUGCUUUCUGCAAAAGAAUGCAAUAAACUGUAUGAUAUUGGAUGCUGGGAGAGAGUUUUAAAGUCAUAUAGUGAACAAUAUGAUAGUGUAUUUAAGAAGUGUUUGAAAAAACAACCCCCAAAACCUCUUUUGUGCCUAUAGUAGCUACAUGUUUUAACAAAGAUGUCCACAAUGCCCCCAUCUCUGGAAUAACACUGUUCUGAACUAAAUCCUACUGGGAAAAGAACACAGAUUUAUCUUCAGUCUCGGGACCUUAAGACAUAAAACAUUUUGUGAUAAUGGACAGCAGCAAUAGUAGGUGAACUUUCUUAAGAAAAACAUGUCACCAUUGAUCUUAGUCUUAACAGAGCAACCACAGAAUGAAUGGGCUUGGAAACUGAAGUACAAGUGUUUUUUAGAGUAAUUCCAAUGAACACCUCAACAGUUUCAUUUAAACAUGCAGGAAACGCUAUUAUUUAAAGUGGAGAAUGUCAACUUGAAUACUUUUAAAAAAUAUUUUUUCCCAAAAUUUGCACUUUCUAAAAUAGCAUUCUUUAAACAGUAUACUGGAUUAAAAAAAAAAAUUUUUAAAAAUGGGAGCAGUCUCUGCUCCCCAACUGCUGUCUAUAAGUCUUUUCAGCAUAGGUGAAAUACAGGUGAAAAGAUGAAAUUGGCAAUACAAAAAAUACCAAUUGGAUGCAUACAGUAAAAAAAAAAAACAAAAGACCCAAAAAUGUAUCAUUAACUUCUUUCAGUCACAGUGCUUUUAUAUGUUACUUGAAACCAUAGUAACAAAUUUUUCAGACAAAAACACAAUGUUCUAAUUGGUUUAAUAAGAUAUGUGCGUUAUCGACAACCUUGUACCAAGUUUAAAAACAAGUAUCAGACCAAUAGAUGGUAAAUACCACAUCAGAAAGUGAUUUGCAUCUUUAGAAAAACACUCAGCUCUCUUUGAGGGCAAUAAAAAGACUCUUUCACACAGAGUUGUAUGCGGACCUUCAAAGAAGAGUGGCUGACAACAUUUCAGAGAAUGCAGGUACAUGAUAUAACGGUAGAGGUCUGGAGUCCUCAACCUGUGGUUUUAAAACUGUAACAAAAUAUAAAAGUAAUAACAUGUCAAGGAUUGUUAUUAACCUGGACAACAAUACUUAAGAGGUUAAAGACAUUUAACACAUAUGUGCUCAGAACAUAAUUAAGACAUCCGGGUGUCUGUUAUAACUGCCCAAAGUGUCACGUGUGAUCACCUAACUGCACUUCAGAAACAUGAUGGCAUCAAAUGAUUCAACUGCCCCUACUGAUAUUAUGUGUAUUUGUUGUGAAUUACUUCUGUGUAUCUCUCUGAAGUUCAAAUAUUGCUCAUUAUUGGAGAAAAUAACAUAUUUUAAUAACAUUUGAACAUUUUUAUUUCAGAUAGUUUUACUUUCCAAUCCAAAAUGAACCUUUCAUUUUAAAAAAAGGCUAUGUCUGAAUAUGAGGCUGCCUUCCAUAACGCAAACUGAAAAGGAGGCAAAUUCCUUGUUGUUACCCUUAACAGACCUGACAGUGGCGACUUUAAGGCUUUGUCUGCACUUGAAAGGGUUAAGCGGAAUAACUUGGCAAACCUUCCUAGGGUAUCUGCAGUUUGACCAGUUCCCCAAACAAAAUAAGCUAUACCAGCAAAAGCACCUCUGCUGAUAUAACUGCGUUUAUACUAAGGUUUUGCCAGUAAUAAAGAGUUAAAUUUAAAUUAAAUAUUAAAUUCAAAUAAAUCACACCUAGAAACAUUCCUACAUGAGUAAGAGCUUCUAGUGUAGACCAAGCUUUCUUCCUGCCUCAUAAAAAUACCUCUGAACAGUAGGUUUUUUUACACAAAUGCACUGUAUUGUCUGAAUAGUAAGUAUCAAAUUCACUUCCCUGGAUGAGGAUAGUUAGACACUGCCACUCACAUGAAUUCUUCAGUUCUACUACUGAUUCCACAUAUAGGGAAAUUUUAUGUGAGAGAAAGUUUUAUCAUAUAUCUGUGCUAUCAUAUCUAUGGACAAUACCAUAUUCUGCUCACAGCCUGUUAACGUUUUUACAUUACAUAGAGGAUAGAACAUAAACUGAAAAAUCAGAUUAUCUCCUAUACAGAAAUAAUUAAAGAACAGAGUGUGAAUCAUUCAAAUUCAGUAUUGGGGUAUUUCUGCAUACUCCCUAAAGACCUUCUCUAAAGUUCAUUAAAGUCGAUAGGAGUCUUCCCUUUGUCUUCAAUGGACUUUUUCUUUGCUUAACAGCUUAAGUGACUUCUCUCCAAUCUCCUUAUCCGUCUGUUACAUUCAACUGAAAGCCCUACAAAUCAAUAGAACAAUAAAGUAGAGUUAAUUGGCCCAUCCUUUUGAAAUGCAGAUAGUUUUUGCCGAGUUUUUCCUGCAAUUAACAGGUUUAUGCAAUCAAAAUACUUUGUUCUGGAACAGUUGGGAAAUACCCACAUUUGGAACAGUCACGUAAUUUUUAUUUAUUUUAUUCCACAAGGCACAGGAAAUGAAACUGGCAGACAGUGCAGUCUAAUCAAGCUGAAUAAUUAAUAAUAUUUCUUCUGUAUAGUACUGUGUAAAUUUGAGUGGACAUUUAGAACAUACCUCAUUACAAUUUUUUCCAUCUACUUUUUUCCAAAGACUGUUUGUUUACAGAUGUGUCUACAUAUUUAUGAGAAAAACAAUAUUUCUAAGUGUUAAGGUCUUUAAAAGCAACACCUAUAUUCUACAUUUCUGGUGAUGGGAAGAGAUAAUAUAGCAAUGAUUUCUUUAAACUGAUAUUGGCAUGACAACAGGGGACAUGCAAGCAAGAUCACUUAAAAAUGUAAACAUGAUUUUUUUUUGUAUUCCCUUACUGACAGGUAGUCAAAAAGUCAGCAUGCUACUGUUAAAGUGAAUUUUGAAAAAUCACAAUAAUGUAACAUAACCUCAGUUUUUUUCCUUUGCAUCAGGCCCUCCAACCCACACCUACAUGUAAAAAUGUGUGAACUGUCAUUUUUUUAAAGUGUUUGUAUUUAGGUAGUUUAUGCUAGAAGACCUAGAUUGCUGCUAUGUAUUCUUAUUUUUUGCUUUGUAUUAUGCGAUAAAUAUCUGUGGGUAGUCAAUUAAAAACAGACUGACACUUAAA